UACGAAGGGGGCUAGCGUUGCUCGGAAUCACUGGGCGUAAAGGGCGCGUAGGCGGCCUGCUAAGUCGAACGUGAAAUCCCCGGGCUCAACCCGGGAACUGCGUCCGAUACUGGUGGGCUUGAAUUCGGGAGAGGGAUGCGGAAUUCCAGGUGUAGCGGUGAAAUGCGUAGAUAUCUGGAGGAACACCGGUGGCGAAGGCGGGUCUCUGGGCCGAUACUGACGCUGAGGAGCGAAAGCGUGGGGAGCGAACAGG
rnacentral:rRNA from 1 species